CAGCCGCCACGGUAAUACGUAGGGUCCGAGCGUUGUCCGGAAUUAUUGGGCGUAAAGGGCUCGUAGGCGGUUUGUUGCGUCGGGAGUGAAAACCCAGGGCUUAACUUUGGGCUUGCUUUCGAUACGGGCAGACUUGAGGCAUUGAGGGGAGAACGGAAUUCCUGGUGUAGCGGUGAAAUGCGCAGAUAUCAGGAGGAACACCGGUGGCGAAGGCGGUUCUCUGGCAAUGUUCUGACGCUGAGGAGCGAAAGUGUGGGGAGCGAACAGGAUUAGAUACCCCGGUAGUCCCUGUCUCUUAUAC
rnacentral:rRNA from 1 species